UAACGCGUGGGAACAUGCCCCAAAGUGAGGAAUAACUGCCCGAAAGGGUAGCUAAUGCCGCAUAUGAUCUUCGGAUUAAAGGAUUUAUCCGCUUUGGGAGUGGCCCGCGUACGAUUAGGUAGUUGGUGAGGUAAAGGCUCACCAAGCCCACGAUCGUUAACUGGUCUGAGAGGAUGAUCAGUCAGACUGGAACUGAGACACGGUCCAGACUCCUACGGGAGGCAGCAGUGAGGAAUCUUCCACAAUGGGCGAAAGCCUGAUGGAGCGACGCCGCGUGCAGGAUGAAGGCCUUCGGGUUGUAAACUGCUUUUAUAAGUGAAGAAUAUGACGGUAACUUAUGAAUAAGCACCGGCUAACUACGUGCCAGCAGCCGCGGUCAUACGUAGGGUGCAAGCAUUAUCCGGAGUGACUGGGCGUAAAGAGUUGCGUAGGUGGACAAGUAAGCGAAUAGUGAAAUGUGGCGGCUCAACCGUACACACUAUUAUUCGAACUGCUUGUCUCGAGAAUGGUAGAGGUAACUGGAAUUUCUAGUGUAGGAGUGAAAUCCGUAGAUAUUAGAAGGAACACCAAUGGCGUAGGCAGGUUACUGGACCAUUUCUGACACUAAGGCACGAAAGCGUGGGGAGCGAACCGGAUUAGAUACCCGGGUAGUCCACGCCGUAAACUAUGGAUACUAGCUGUUGGAGGUAUCGACCCCUUCAGUAGCGAAGCUAACGCGUUAAGUAUCCCGCCUGUG
rnacentral:rRNA from 1 species